rnacentral:rRNA from 1 species
AACGAACGCUGGCGGCAUGCCUAACACAUGCAAGUCGAACGAGACCUUCGGGUCUAGUGGCGCACGGGUGCGUAACGCGUGGGAACCUGCCCUUAGGUUCGGAAUAACUCCCCUAAAGGGGUGCUAAUACCGGAUAAUGUCUUCGGACCAAAGAUUUAUCGCCUUUGGAUGGGCCCGCGUUGGAUUAGCUAGUUGGUAGGGUAAAAGCCUACCAAGGCGACGAUCCAUAGCUGGUCUGAGAGGAUGACCAGCCACACUGGGCCUGAGACACGGCCCAGACUCCUACGGGAGGCAGCAGUGGGGAAUAUUGGAGAAUGGGCGAAAGCCUGAUCCAGCAAUGCCGCGGGAGGGAUGAAGGGCUUAGGGUUGUAAAGCUCUUUUACCCGAGAUGAGAAUGACAGUACCGGGAGAAUAAGCUCCGGCUAACUCCGUG